GUCUACAGGUUGAAAUUUUCAGGAUUAUUUACAAGACCCGGCUCAUCUUCCAGAAGAUGACCUGACCCUUGGGGGCUACAUGUUUAAGUUUUCAAGACUAUUUACAAGACCCAGCUCAUCUUCAAGAAGAUGACCCGACCCUUGGGGGCUACAUAGGGAUAUAUUGGGUAAUUUGUUACACAAUACCAUCCCUUGUAUCUUUUCUUCAUCAUAUUUACCAGGCCGUUUUCCAUGUCUAGGUUCAUGGAGAGACGGUUCAGAUAUCUCGCAUGCAGUUAUUCAAAGUUUAGUUUCUCAAUAUUGGGAAGCUGAAGU
rnacentral:lncRNA from 1 species